AAUCUGUGAGGUGGAUGCGUGUUGGAAGGACCCCUUUUGGUUUCUUUUUGCUCAGAGCUUUCUUUUAAUAAAUUCCGCUCUCCUCACCUUUCAAUGUGUCCGUAUGCCUAAUUUUUCCUGGUCCUGUGACAAGAACCUGAUUUUAGCUGAACUAAGGAGCGAAAGAUCCUGGAUCAUUUUGGUGACCCAUACUGGUACAUGAGGAAAGCAGGUCACAAAACCCUCCUGUGAGAGGAACCCUCUGUGGAAGAACAGAAUAUGUCACCCCAAAAUAUGAAGAAUUGUUGAGCUGAAGAUGAUUAAGAAGAAGCGGAUGCAGGAAAGCUCUCUGCUCUCCCUCUAUUUGCUUAAAAGCAGGAUAAACACUUACAAAGACUAAAGGUAUCCUUGCCUUCUGCCAGGAAGAAAAGGGUUAACUGCCAGAACAGCUUUAGACCCUCAUUGGCCUGUAGAUGGUACUAGAGAAAUCUACAUUAACAAGCUUUAUUAAUUCGCUUUUAUCUGCCAUUUAUUUGCCCUCCCCCAAGUUACUGUCAAAGUCCUUUUCGUUUGUCUUGUCACUUCUCUAAAAAUUGACUGUUCUUUAUUGAAGAUGCUAUAUAAGCUGUAAUUUAAAGACAUACUUCCAUUUGUUUUUCUCCCGUUAAUCUGUUUUUUGUUAUAGGGGUCCAUUCCAACUAAGAAACUAUGGGGGACCAGGCAUGGUGGCUCACGCCUAUAAUCCCAGCACUUUGGGAGGCCAAGGCCGGCAGAUCACGAGGUCAGGAGAUCGAGACCAUCCUGGCCAACAUGGUGAAACCCCAUCUCUAUUUAAAAAAUACAAAAAAUUAACUGGGUGUGGUGGCAUGCA
rnacentral:lncRNA from 1 species